GGCUCAGGACGAACGCUGGCGGCGUGCCUAACACAUGCAAGUCGAGCGGGGACUUUACGACUGAAUUGAAGACUUCGGUUGAAUAUGAAGAUGUAAAGUUCUAGCGGCGGACGGGUGAGUAACGCGUGAGCAACCUGUCCCUUACAGGGGGAUAACACAGCGAAAGUUGUACUAAUACCGCAUGAGACCACGGAGUGACAUCAUUCAGGGGUCAAAGGAGCAAUCCGGUAAGGGGUGGGCUCGCGUCCGAUUAGAUAGUUGGUGAGGUAACGGCCCACCAAGUCGACGAUCGGUAGCCGACCUGAGAGGGUGAUCGGCCACAUUGGGACUGAGACACGGCCCAAACUCCUACGGGAGGCAGCAGUGGGGAAUAUUGGGCAAUGGGGGGAAACCCUGACCCAGCAACGCCGCGUGAGGGAAGAAGGUUUUCGGAUCGUAAACCUCUGUCCUUGGUGAAGAGGAAGAGACGGUAGCCAAGGAGGAAGCCCCGGCUAACUACGUGCCAGCCGCGGC
rnacentral:rRNA from 1 species